UAGGGAAUAUUGGACAAUGGGGGCAACCCUGAUCCAGCCAUGCCGCGUGAGUGAAGAAGGCCCUCGGGUUGUAAAGCUCUUUUGUCCGGAAAGAAAAGCUUCGGGUUAAUACCCCGGGGUUCUGACGGUACCGGAAGAAUAAGCACCGGCUAACUUCGUGCCAGCAGCCGCGGUAAUACGAAGGGUGCAAGCGUUACUCGGAAUUACUGGGCGUAAAGCGUGCGUAGGUGGUUGUUUAAGUCUGAUGUGAAAGCCCUGGGCUCAACCUGGGUAUGGCAUUGGAAACUGGGCAGCUAGAGUGCGGUAGAGGGUAGUGGAAUUCCCGGUGUAGCAGUGAAAUGCGUAGAGAUCGGGAGGAACAUCUGUGGCGAAGGCGACUGCCUGGACCAGCACUGACACUGAGGCACGAAAGCGUGGGGAGCAAACA
rnacentral:rRNA from 1 species